ACGUAGGGUGCAGGCGUUAAUCGGAAUUACUGGGCGUAAAGCGUGCGCAGGCGGCUUCCUAAGUCAGAUGUGAAAUCCCCGGGCUCAACCUGGGAACUGCGUUUGAAACUGGGAGGCUAGAGUGCGGCAGAGGGAGGUGGAAUUCCACGUGUAGCAGUGAAAUGCGUAGAUAUGUGGAGGAACACCGAUGGCGAAGGCAGCCUCCUGGGCCAGCACUGACGCUCAUGCACGAAAGCGUGGGGAGCAAACAGG
rnacentral:rRNA from 1 species